ACAUGCAAGUCUCCCCGCCCCCGUGAGAAUGCCCCCCAGUUCCCCGCUCGGGAACAAGGAGCUGGUAUCAGGCUCAACCCCUCCGCCCAUGACACCUUGCUUAGCCACACCCUCAAGGGACUUCAGCAGUGAUAAAUAUUAAGCUAUAAGUGAAAACUUGACUUAGUUAAAGCCAAGAGGGCCGGUAAAACUCGUGCCAGCCACCGCGGUUAUACGAGCGGCCCAAGUUGAUAGUCCACGGCGUAAAGAGUGGUUAGGACAAACCCUUAAAACUAAAGCCGAACGCUCUCAGAGCUGUUAUACGCUUCCGAGAGUAAGAAGCCCUACUACGAAAGUGGCUUUACCUUUCCGACCCCACGAAAGCUGUGAAACAAACUGGGAUUAGAUACCCCACUAUGCCCAGCCCUAAACUCUGAUAGCAUCUUACACCCGCUAUCCGCCCGGGAACUACGAGCACUAGCUUAAAACCCAAAGGACUUGGCGGUGCUUUAGACCCCCCUAGAGGAGCCUGUUCUAGAACCGAUAACCCCCGUUAACCUCACCCUCUCUUGCUUUUUCCGCCUAUAUACCGCCGUCGUCAGCUUACCCUGUGAAGGACAAAUAGUAAGCAUAACUAGUAAAACCCAAAACGCCAGGUCGAGGUGUAGCACAUGAGAGGGGAAGAAAUGGGCUACAUUUCCUGCCCCAGGAAAUCACGAAUAAUGUGAUGAAACACACAUUAAAAGGAGGAUUUAGCAGUAAGUGGAGAAUAGAGAGCCCCACUGAAACCGGCCCUGAAGCGCGCACACACCGCCCGUCACUCUCCCCAAACCAAAACAUAACAAUAAAUAAUAACCCACACUG
rnacentral:ncRNA from 1 species